AAUGAACGCUGGCGGCAGGCCUAACACAUACAAGUCGAACGGAUCCUUCGGGAUUAGUGGCGGACGGGUGAGUAACGCGUGGGAACAUACCCUUUGGUACGGAAUAGCCUCGGGAAACUGGGAGUAAUACCGUAUGUGCUCGAAAGAGGAAAGACUUAUCGCCUUUGGAUUGGCCCGCGUUGGAUUAGGUAGUUGGUGGGGUAAUGGCCUAUCAAGCCGACGAUCCAUAGCUGGUUUGAGAGGAUGAUCAGCCACACUGGGACUGAGACACGGCCCAGACUCCUACGGGAGGCAGCAGUGGGGAAUCUUAGACAAUGGGGGAAACCCUGAUCUAGCCAUGCCGCGUGAUCGAUGAAGGCCUUAGGGUUGUAAAGAUCUUUCAGGUGGGAAGAUAAUGACUGUACCACCAGAAGAAGCCCCGGCUAACUCCGUGCCAGCCGCCGCCGUAA
rnacentral:rRNA from 1 species